CUCAAAUUUUAUAGGCCCAUGGAUGGGUCACCAAAAAAACAAAAUAUUUUUUAGGGCAAAUCAUGUCAACGUACCAAUAAAAUGGUCAAAACUCUAAAAACGGAAUAUCAUUAUCAUUGUAUCGUAUCAGAAUCAAAUCAGCUUUUUAAAAACAUGCAAUUCUGCAAUUUCAGUACUAAAUCUACUUUUUUGACAGGUGAAUUUCACCAUUUGACUGGUUCGUUAUUUUGCCCAUAUAUAUAUAUAUAUAUAUAUAUAUAUAUAUAUAUCAAUAUUUUUAGGGCAAAUCAUUUCAGCCUACCCAAUCGCCUCCAUCUCUAUUCUCGUUCUCAACUUUGAACUUACCCCCUCUCUCUCUCUCUCUCUCUCUCUCUCUGUGUGCAACUGCAAACUACAAAAUCUACAAGAAUCAGAAGUUCAAAACCCAUAUAUUUCAGUUUAUCUGUCUGCAAUAAUCAAAAGUUCAAAACCCAGAUCGGCAUAUCAAUUCAGAUUGUUCAAAAAAUCAAAACCCAUAUCUUUCAGUUUCCGUCGCCCGCGGUUCCAGUUCGGGGUUCGCCGUUCGCAAGCUUCAGCCGCUGUCUCUCAACUCUCAAGCUUGCCCCCCUCUCUCUCUGCAACUUGUAACUUGGUUAGCAUUGGGCCUUAACAUUUAGCAAGAACAAGGUUCAAGAAGCAUGCCUCCUCAGUCAUCAGGUCUAUUUUCUAAAAGAACAGAGUUGAUGGAAAUGGGUGGAAUAGGGAAAAAGAAAAUGUUCAAUUUCUUGUGAGAAUCCUCUUGAUGAUUCAAGGGUGCUUUCAAGUUGAAGAACGAUGCGGUAGAGAAAUUACAGAAGAGAUCCAUACGUCUAUUUCUAUUUCUUCUUCUUGCCAUUUCUUGCCAUUUUUUAUAAGAUCAGAAGUUUAUUUUUAACCAAAUGAAUAUUCUUCAACCUAAAUAGGCAUUGGACAUAAGUUCAUAGACACCGGGAGCAGCUCAAUUAGACCUCUCAAUGGGUUAGAUUCGGAUUGGACCGGGCAUGAUCCGAUCUGAUCCGAAUUUGAUUAACAUUUUAGUCGAUCCGAUAAUUUGAUGGAUUUUUUUGUAAGUGAAUUCUUUGUUAAUAAAUAGAUAUUUGAUCUUAUAGUUAGAUCCGAUAAAAGUGUAUUUUUAUUAAUAUAUAUAUAUAUAUGUGUGUGUGUGGGUAAGAACAAUACAUUAUUAUACAUAAAACACUAUGAUUAUUAUUAUUAUUUUUAUUUUUUAAUACA